rfam:Vibrio maritimus DNA, contig: contig00002, strain: JCM 19240.
UACAGCGGAAGAGGAGCACUGCCCAGGCAAGUGAUUUGUGAAGCCGCAACUUCAAUACAAUUCACUCAUGGGGAGCAGUGCCGAGAUGAACUAAAAUUGUCGGAUUUAGUUUGUCGGUUAAAUGGGCUGAAUCCCUUUAACUGUCACCAAGAUUUGGUGAAGAGCUUCUGAGGUC